UACAUGGGGUGCAAACGUUGCUCGGAAUCAUUGGGCGUAAAGCGCGCGUAGGCGGUUACUUAAGUUGGAUGUGAAAGCCCUCGGCUUAACCGAGGAAGUGCAUCCAAAACUGAGUAGCUAGAGUACGAAAGAGGGUCUCGGAAUUCCCGGUGUAGAGGUGAAAUUCGUAGAUAUCGGGAGGAACACCGGUGGCGAAGGCGGCGACCUGGGUCGAGACUGACGCUGAGGCGCGAAAGCGUGGGGAGCAAACAGG
rnacentral:rRNA from 1 species